CCUCAUCUUCCUCUCUGUUUCAAUAUCCUUCUUCCCAGCCCAAACAAACGGAACGGACCGAGCAAACGCAACUCGGCGGCAGCAGUGCCCAGCCCACUCCGGCGACUGCUUCACGGACACAGUGACCCUUCCCACUUUGACGACCGCUUCACGGACACAGUGACUCGAGGAGCAGGUGGUCAUGGUUGCUUGAUGCAGGCCAUGAAAUGAAUGAAUGCUGGAUUUUGGAUUGGACUUUGUUUUCUAUCUAUUCUUUUGAAAUUUGAACUUGAUUUGUGUUGUUGUAGUCGAUUAGACUUAGAUUUAAUUUGUGUUGUAAUGGACUAUGGACUAUGGACUUUGGACUUUAAGUUUAAACUUUAAUCAUGUGUUGAGAUUUGUGGUUGUA